GAUGAACGCUAGCGGCAGGCUUAAUACAUGCAAGUCGUGGGGCAGCAGGUUUGUAGCAAUACAGAUGCUGGCGACCGGCAAACGGGUGCGGAACACGUACGCAACCUUCCUUUUACUGGAAGAUAGCCCACCGAAAGGUGGAUUAAUAUUCUAUAACAUAUUGAAAAGGCAUCUUUUUAAUAUUAAAGCUCCGGCGGUAAAAGAUGGGCGUGCGUCUGAUUAGGUAGUUGGCGGGGUAACGGCCCACCAAGCCUACGAUCAGUAGCUGAUGUGAGAGCACGAUCAGCCACACGGGCACUGAGACACGGGCCCGACUCCUACGGGAGGCAGCAGUAAGGAAUAUUGGUCAAUGGACGCAAGUCUGAACCAGCCAUGCCGCGUGGAGGAUGAAGGUCCUCUGGAUUGUAAACUUCUUUUCUCUGGGACGAAACCCCCGAUUUCUAUCGGGCCUGACGGUACCAGAGGAAUAAGCACCGGCUAACUCUGUGCCAGCCGCCGCGGUAACAC
rnacentral:rRNA from 1 species